CUCCGCUUGGUGUAGUUGGUUUAUCACGUUCGGCUGUAAUAUCUAUUGUUACCGAAAGGUCCCUAGUUCGAUUCUGGGAGCGGAGA
rnacentral:tRNA from 3 species